CAUUCCGGUGUCUGAGGCGUGGUGGAACCACAUCCAUCCCAUCCCGAAUUGGAUGGUGAAACACCAUAGCGGCGAAAAUACUUGAGGGGAAGCCCUCUGGAAAAAUAGCUAGAUGCCUGAUUG
rnacentral:rRNA from 1 species